rnacentral:rRNA from 1 species
UAGACCUCAAAUCAGGUAGGACUACCCGCUGA